CCUUUCAAAGAAUCAUUGACCUAAAUUGCACUUUAAUGCACAUACCAUGCUGUCCACACCACCUACGUGUCUCCAGGAAUACUGCUAAAUAACGAGCACUAAAUGUUUAGUCAUUUCCUGCAUCACGUUUGCAGGAGCCGGUAGCUCCACGCUAUUAGCAUAUGUAAGUGCACUGCAGUUCAAACAGUUGGUUUCCAUAUCAGCAGCUGCUCGGUUUAAUCUCCUUUUGGGAAAGGUGCCAUGGGGAGCGUUGCAGCGAACCGCAGGUUAAUGUUUCAGCCUGCUUUCCUCCAAACUUCCAGCGAAGGGCCGCGAUGACUCAGUGCCGCGGAGAAUUCAUGUCUCAAAAAUGUCUCUCGCAAACUCUUUUUUUUUUUUUAAAGCGUGCUGUGGGAAAAUCUGACUUAAACCUCUAAUGGACAGUGCAUAAGUCCAGGGCUGCCUCGGAGGUCCGUGCCAACGAUGCCGUUUCUCCCUCGGGAAAAUAAAGUGAGACGAAGCAACUCGGCUCUCGCUACCCGAUCAGGCUACAGAAAUCUGCAUUCUUCACAAGUGAAUAGGCACCGCUGGGAAGAGGACAGCACAUCUGACCAAACUCCUGCAUCUGACCUGCGGGGUCACGGGACGGAGGAGAGGCUGCCUGAGGCUCCCUGAACAGUCAUGGGGAGCAACGGGCGUUUUGCAGACAAGGUCAAACGCCUCUCCGCUGCUGGCUAGCGCGAGGGGACCCAGCUUAGGUAUGUUGCUGUAGAGCCUGAAGAUAGGCUGAUG
rnacentral:lncRNA from 1 species